rnacentral:rRNA from 2 species
AGAGUCUGAUGGAGCACGCCGCGUGAGUGAAGAAGGGUUUCGGCUCGUAAAACUCUGUUGUUAAAGAAGAACAUAUCUGAGAGUAACUGUUCAGGUAUUGACGGUAUUUAACCAGAAAGCCACGGCUAACUACGUGCCAGCAGCCGCGGUAAUACGUAGGUGGCAAGCGUUGUCCGGAUUUAUUGGGCGUAAAGCGAGCGCAGGCGGUUUUUUAAGUCUGAUGUGAAAGCCUUCGGCUCAACCGAAGAAGUGCAUCGGAAACUGGGAAACUUGAGUGCAGAAGAGGACAGUGGAACUCCAUGUGUAGCGGUGAAAUGCGUAGAUAUAUGGAAGAACACCAGUGGCGAAGGCGGCUGUCUGGUCUGUAACUGACGCUGAGGCUCGAAAGUAUGGGUAGCAAACAGGAUUAGAUACCCUGGUAGUCCAUACCGUAAACGAUGAAUGCUAAGUGUUGGAGGGUUUCCGCCCUUCAGUGCUGCAGCUAACGCAUUAAGCAUUCCGCCUGGGGAGUACGGCCGCAAGGCUGAAACUCAAAGGAAUUGACGGGGGCCCGCACAAGCGGUGGAGCAUGUGGUUUAAUUCGAAGCUACGCGAAGAACCUUACCAGGUCUUGACAUACUAUGCAAAUCUAAGAGAUUAGACGUUCCCUUCGGGGACAUGGAUACAGGUGGUGCAUGGUUGUCGUCAGCUCGUGUCGUGAGAUGUUGGGUUAAGUCCCGCAACGAGCGCAACCCUUAUUAUCAGUUGCCAGCAUUAAGUUGGGCACUCUGGUGAGACUGCCGGUGACAAACCGGAGGAAGGUGGGGAUGACGUCAAAUCAUCAUGCCCCUUAUGACCUGGGCUACACACGUGCUACAAUGGAUGGUACAACGAGUUGCGAACUCGCGAGAGUAAGCUAAUCUCUUAAAGCCAUUCUCAG